rnacentral:rRNA from 1 species
AAAUGACGGUACCUGACUAAUAAGCUCCGGCUAACUUCGUGCCAGCAGCCGCGGUAAUACGAAGGGAGCUAGCGUUGUUCGGAAUUACUGGGCGUAAAGGGCGCGUAGGCGGUCUUAUAAGUUUGGUGUGAAAGCCCUGGGCUUAACCUGGGAACUGCAUUGAAUACUUUAAGACUUGAGACCGAGAGAGGGAAAUGGAAUUGCGAGUGUAGAGGUGAAAUUCGUAGAUAUUCGCAAGAACACCAGUGGCGAAGGCGAUUUCCUGGCUCGGUACUGACGCUAAGGCGCGAAAGCGUGGGGAGCAAACAGGAUUAGAUACCCUGGUAGUCCACGCUGUAAACGAUGAAUGCUAGAUGUUGGGGAUUAAAAUCUUCAGUGUCGCCGCUAACGCAAUAAGCAUUCCGCCUGGGGAGUACGGUCGCAAGAAUGAAACUCAAAGAAGGGCGAAUUUCGCGGC